UCCUGGCUGGCUGAGUGGUAAAGAAUCUGCCUGCAAUGCAGGAUACCUGGGUUCAAUCCCGGAGUCAGGAA
rnacentral:tRNA from 1 species